AACAAAUGGACAAACAAGCAGAUUUUCCUAAAUAUUAAAUGGCUAAGAUUUACAACUAUUAUAAUGGCUAUAAAUUUUGUAUAGCCAUUGAAAUAAUUUCAUAAAACCGCCUAAGUUUAGAAGAGAGUAAAUGUUAACAUCCCAUAUUCUUCCUAGCAUAUCCGUAAGCUAAACAUUAUAAAUAUUAAACCUUUUAAUUUUAAUAUAUAUCACAUCAACAAAAUUUUAAGAUAAAAGCAGAAGAAAAAAAAAAGUAAAAAUGACAUUUAAGAAUAUCCGCACGUCAAAGAUUUCUUUCACACUUUUGUUUGCCAUGUCUCUCAUCCUCUUUACCCAUGCAGCUGGAAUUCCGGUUAUGGGACAAGUGUCGACACAAGCGACGGGAAAAGAGACGGGGGGCUGUAUUUCUUUAAACAUUCCAUGCACUUAUAAAUCCAAUGAUUGUAGUGCUCCAUGCCAAAGAAAAUUAGGCCCCAUUCUCGACUUCUCUUUUUGUGUAUAUGGUGGACAAUUUUGUGAAUGUUGUUAUGUUAAGAAAAAUUAGAGCCAUUUUUAGAAAGUAAUUCCAAACUACCAUCAAUUAUUUAGACAUAAAUUUUAAUUUCAUGUGAUGUGUCAAAAUAAUAUAUAAUCACGUUUUGUUUAUGA